rnacentral:rRNA from 1 species
UAGAGUUUGAUCAUGGCUCAGGAUGAACGCUAGCGGCAGGCUUAACACAUGCAAGUCGAGGGGCAUCGGGAGGGAAGCUUGCUUUCCUUGCCGGCGACCGGCGCACGGGUGAGUAACACGUAUGCAACCUGCCCUCUUCAGGGGGACAACCUUCCGAAAGGGAGGCUAAUCCCGCGUAUAUCGGUUUCGGGCAUCCGGGAUCGAGGAAAGAUUCAUCGGAAGAGGAUGGGCAUGCGGCGCAUUAGCUGGACGGCGGGGUAACGGCCCACCGUGGCGACGAUGCGUAGGGGUUCUGAGAGGAAGGUCCCCCACACUGGUACUGAGACACGGACCAGACUCCUACGGGAGGCAGCAGUGAGGAAUAUUGGUCAAUGGGAGAGAUCCUGAACCAGCCAAGCCGCGUGAGGGAAGACGGCCCUAUGGGUUGUAAACCUCUUUUGUCGGAGAACAAAACCCGGGACGUGUCCCGGACUGCGUGUAUCCGAAGAAAAAGCAUCGGCUAACUCCGUGCCAGCAGCCGCGGUAAUACGGAGGAUGCGAGCGUUAUCCGGAUUUAUUGGGUUUAAAGGGUGCGUAGGCGGUCCGUUAAGUCAGCGGUAAAAUUGCGGGGCUCAACCCCGUCGAGCCGUUGAAACUGGCAGACUUGAGUUGGCGAGAAGUACGCGGAAUGCGCGGUGUAGCGGUGAAAUGCAUAGAUAUCGCGCAGAACUCCGAUUGCGAAGGCAGCGUACCGGCGCCAGACUGACGCUGAGGCACGAAAGCGUGGGGAUCGAACAGGAUUAGAUACCCUGGUAGUCCACGCAGUAAACGAUGAAUGCUAGGUGUCCGGGGCUUUGUGUCCUGGGUGCCACAGCGAAAGCGUUAAGCAUUCCACCUGGGGAGUACGCCGGCAACGGUGAAACUCAAAGGAAUUGACGGGGGCCCGCACAAGCGGAGGAACAUGUGGUUUAAUUCGAUGAUACGCGAGGAACCUUACCCGGGCUCAAACGCAGGGAGACUGCAAUCGAAAGGUUGCUUUCCACGGACUGCCUGCGAGGUGCUGCAUGGUUGUCGUCAGCUCGUGCCGUGAGGUGUCGGCUUAAGUGCCAUAACGAGCGCAACCCCUGCCGCCAGUUGCUAACGCGAAAGGCGAGGACUCUGGCGGGACUGCCGGCGCAAGCCGCGAGGAAGGCGGGGAUGACGUCAAAUCAGCACGGCCCUUACGUCCGGGGCGACACACGUGUUACAAUGGCAGGUACAGAGAGAAGCAAUGCGGCGACGCAAAGCGGAACUUGAAAGCCUGUCUCAGUUCGGAUUGGAGUCUGCAACUCGACUCCAUGAAGCUGGAUUCGCUAGUAAUCGCGCAUCAGCCAUGGCGCGGUGAAUACGUUCCCGGGCCUUGUACACACCGCCCGUCAAGCCAUGGAAGCCGGGAGUGCCUGAAGUGUGCAACCGCAAGGAGCGCCCUAAGGUAAAACUGGUGACUGGGGCUAAGUCGUAACAAGGUAACCGUA